UUUAGCAUUUAUCUGUAUUUAUUUACUCUUAUUAUUUUCCUAAAAUUUAAAUACUAUAACACAAUUGAAUUAGUUUGUAAUGGUACAACAGUUAAAAAAUAGUUGCUUAAAAUUUUAGGGUCCAAGCCUGUAAACUGAGCCAAGCAAAAUAGAUGUGAUGGAGGAGACAAGUGAUAACAAACUAAUCAAAAGAAGAAAAUGUCAUAUCUUGGAUAAAAAUGGUUACCUUCAACAACUAGAUAUACUGGUCACAGUUAAAUUAAAUAUUGUUGUCAAGAAGAUUUUCCCUAUUCAUCGUAGAGGAGCAAUGGAACAUGUGCUUAAACUUUGCAUAAGUUUUGUUGAAACUUUCAUUUGAUAUACUGAAGAUGGUUGUUGAAUAUUGUUUGGUAACAAUAUCUAUAUGGCUAUAUGGCUGUAAAGAGAGAUGUUGAAAGGUGCAAUUUUAGUGCAAAAAUGUGCAUGUUUAACAACAUGUUGAAUGAACAAACAUUAUAAUGCAGUAAAACACUAGGAAGCAUUAUGUUUUCAAAACUUUAUAACAACUUAGUAAAUGUGUCGGAAUGUCCAUAUAUCCAUCCACCAAGAGGAGGUAUAUAUCUACAUGUUAGUGAAACUUAAUACAUUAUAGAUGGAUAAAUCUCAUUAGGGGAGAAAUGAUGUGUUGAAUUUUAAUAUGCCCGAAACAAUUUCGGGCAUAUUAUGUUAUACCCCCUGGCAUCUGUUCCUCCGUACGAACCCAGAGGUACUUGUGUGACUGGGUAUCAGUAUAUAAAUAACACAUGGGUUUGUUAGUAACAGUAAAAAUAUCAUCCCGAAGAAAAUACUGUUACCCAAGGAUGAUUGUCCAUAUUAUUAUUAGGUAGAAGACACCUAUUGAUUUUGAGGUCACAAGAUCAAAGGUCAAGAACUGAAAACAGUUUCCGGAGCAUAACUUAAGUUCCAUUUGGCACACAGUGUUCAAACUUCAUAGUAUGAUUGUCCAUAUUGGGUAGAAGACCCCUAUUGAUUUUGGGGUCACAAGGUCAAGGUCAUUAUUGCCUUAAAACUGAAAACAGUUUCCGGAGCAUAACUUAAGUUCCAUUUGGCCCACAGUGUUCAAACUUCAUAGGAUGAUUGUCUAUAUUGGGUAGAAAAUCCCUAUUGAUUUUGGGGUCACAAGGUCAAAGGUCAAGGUCAUUAUUACUUUAGAACUGAAAACAGUUUCCGGAACAUAACUUAAGUUUCAUUUGGCCCACAAUAUAAAAACUUCAUAGGAUGAUUGUCCAUAUUGGGUAGAAGACCCCUAUUGAUUUUGGGGUCACAAGGUCAGAGGUCAAGAUCAUUAUUACUUUAAAACUGAAAACAGUUUUCGGAACAUGACUUAAGUUCCAUUUGGCCCACAGUAUUCAAACUUUAUAGGAUGAUUGGCCAUAUUGGGUAGAACACCACUAUUGAUUUUGGGAUCACAAGGUCAGAGGUCAAGGUCACUAUUACUUUAAAAGUGAAAACAGUUUCCGGAGAAUAACUUAAGUUCCAUUUGGCCCACAUUUGGCCUAGCGGUGCUCUUGUUAGUUUUCAGCUCAAUUUUUUU